rnacentral:miRNA from 1 species
UAGGGCUGGGAACUCUGGAGCUGG